AGAGUUUGAUCAUGGCUCAGAUUGAACGCUGGCGGCAGGCCUAACACAUGCAAGUCGAACGGUAACAGGAAACAGCUUGCUGUUUCGCUGACGAGUGGCGGACGGGUGAGUAAUGUCUGGGAAACUGCCUGAUGGAGGGGGAUAACUACUGGAAACGGUAGCUAAUACCGCAUAACGUCGCAAGACCAAAGAGGGGGACCCUCGGGCCUCUUGCCAUCGGAUGUGCCCAGAUGGGAUUAGCUUGUUGGUGGGGUAACGGCUCACCAAGGCGACGAUCCCUAGCUGGUCUGAGAGGAUGACCAGCCACACUGGAACUGAGACACGGUCCAGACUCCUACGGGAGGCAGCAGUGGGGAAUAUUGCACAAUGGGCGCAAGCCUGAUGCAGCCAUGCCGCGUGUAUGAAGAAGGCCUUCGGGUUGUAAAGUACUUUCAGCGGGGAGGAAGGGAGUAAAGUUAAUACCUUUGCUCAUUGACGUUACCCGCAGAAGAAGCACCGGCUAACUCCGUGCCAGCAGCCGCGGUAAUACGGAGGGUGCAAGCGUUAAUCGAAUUACUGGGCGUAAAGCGCACGCAGGCGGUUUGUUAAGUCAGAUGUGAAAUCCCCGGGCUCAACCUGGGAACUGCAUCUGAUACUGGCAAGCUUGAGUCUCGUAGAGGGGGGUAGAAUUCCAGGUGUAGCGGUGAAAUGCGUAGAGAUCUGGAGGAAUACCGGUGGCGAAGGCGGCCCCCUGGACGAAGACUGACGCUCAGGUGCGAAAGCGUGGGGAGCAAACAGGAUUAGAUACCCUGGUAGUCCACGCCGUAAACGAUGUCGACUUGGAGGUUGUGCCCUUGAGGCGUGGCUUCCGGAGCUAACGCGUUAAGUCGACCGCCUGGGGAGUACGGCCGCAAGGUUAAAACUCAAAUGAAUUGACGGGGGCCCGCACAAGCGGUGGAGCAUGUGGUUUAAUUCGAUGCAACGCGAAGAACCUUACCUGGUCUUGACAUCCACGGAAGUUUUCAGAGAUGAGAAUGUGCCUUCGGGAACCGUGAGACAGGUGCUGCAUGGCUGUCGUCAGCUCGUGUUGUGAAAUGUUGGGUUAAGUCCCGCAACGAGCGCAACCCUUAUCCUUUGUUGCCAGCGGUCCGGCCGGGAACUCAAAGGAGACUGCCAGUGAUAAACUGGAGGAAGGUGGGGAUGACGUCAAGUCAUCAUGGCCCUUACGACCAGGGCUACACACGUGCUACAAUGGCGCAUACAAAGAGAAGCGACCUCGCGAGAGCAAGCGGACCUCAUAAAGUGCGUCGUAGUCCGGAUUGGAGUCUGCAACUCGACUCCAUGAAGUCGGAACCGCUAGUAAUCGUGGAUCAGAAUGCCACGGUGAAUACGUUCCCGGGCCUUGUACACACCGCCCGUCACACCAUGGGAGUGGGUUGCAAAAGAAGUAGGUAGCUUAACCUUCGGGAGGGCGCUUACCACUUUGUGAUUCAUGACUGGGGUGAAGUCGAACAAGGUAACCGUAGGGGAACCUGCGGUUG
rnacentral:rRNA from 1 species